rnacentral:rRNA from 1 species
UGCCUACGGGGGGCAGCAGUGGGGAAUAUUGGGCAAUGGGCGCAAGCCUGACCCAGCAACGCCGCGUGAAGGAAGAAGGCUUUCGGGUUGUAAACUUCUUUUCUCAGGGACGAAGCAAGUGACGGUACCUGAGGAAUAAGCCACGGCUAACUACGUGCCAGCAGCCGCGGUAAUACGUAGGUGGCAAGCGUUAUCCGGAUUUACUGGGUGUAAAGGGCGUGUAGGCGGGACUGCAAGUCAGAUGUGAAAACCAUGUGCUCAACCUAUGGCCUGCAUUUGCAACUGUAGUUCUUGAGUACUGGAGA